UACGUAGGGCGCAAGCGUUGUCCGGAAUUAUUGGGCGUAAAGAGCUCGUAGGCGGCUUGUCACGUCGGGUGUGAAAGCCUGGGGCUCAACCCCGGGUCGGCCGUGCGAACUGCUGGGCUUGAGCACUGUAGAGGCAGGCGGAAUUCCGGGUGUAGCGGUGAAAUGCGCAGAUAUCAGGAGGAACACCGAUGGCGAAGGCAGGUCUCUGGGCAUUAACUGACGCUGAGGAGCGAAAGCAUGGGGAGCGAACAGG
rnacentral:rRNA from 1 species